UACGUAGGUGGCAAGCGUUUGUCCGGAUUUACUGGGCGUAAAGAGCGCGCAGGCGGUCGUUCAAGUCGCGUGUGAAAGCCCCCCGGCUCAACUGGGGAGGGUCACGCGAUACUGAUCGACUCGAAGGCAGGAGAGGGUAGUGGAAUUCCCGGUGUAGUGGUGAAAUGCGUAGAUAUCGGGAGGAACACCAGUGGCGAAGGCGACUACCUGGCCUGUUUCUUGACGCUGAGGCGCGAAAGCUAGGGGAGCAAACGGGG
rnacentral:rRNA from 1 species